ACCUGGGUGGCUCAGUCGGCUGAGCGUCUGACUCUUGAUUUUGGCUCAGGUCGUAAUCCCAAGGUUGUGGGAUCGAGCCCCGCCUCGGGCU
rnacentral:tRNA from 1 species